rnacentral:rRNA from 1 species
UACGUAGGUGGCGAGCGUUAUCCGGAUUUACUGGGUGUAAAGGGCGUGUAGGCGGGACUGCAAGUCAGAUGUGAAAAUUAUGGGCUCAACCCAUAACCUGCAUUUGAAACUGUAGUUCUUGAGUGAUGGAGAGGCAGGCGGAAUUCCGUGUGUAGCGGUGAAAUGCGUAGAUAUACGGAGGAACACCAGUGGCGAAGGCGGCCUGCUGGACAUUAACUGACGCUGAGGCGCGAAAGCGUGGGGAG